rnacentral:rRNA from 1 species
AUUGAACGCUGGCGGCAGGCCUAACACAUGCAAGUCGAGCGGAUGAAGGGAGCUUGCUCCUGGAUUCAGCGGCGGACGGGUGAGCAAUGCCUAGGAAUCUGCCUGGUAGUGGGGGAUAACGUCCGGAAACGGGCGCUAAUACCGCAUACGUCCUGAGGGAGAAAGUGGGGGAUCUUCGGACCUCACGCUAUCAGAUGAGCCUAGGUCGGAUUAGCUAGUUGGUGGGGUAAAGGCCUACCAAGGCGACGAUCCGUAACUGGUCUGAGAGGAUGAUCAGUCACACUGGAACUGAGACACGGUCCAGACUCCUACGGGAGGCAGCAGUGGGGAAUAUUGGACAAUGGGCGAAAGCCUGAUCCAGCCAUGCCGCGUGUGUGAAGAAGGUCUUCGGAUUGUAAAGCACUUUAAGUUGGGAGGAAGGGCAGUAAGUUAAUACCUUGCUGUCUUGACGUUACCAACAGAAUAAGCACCGGCUAACUUCGUG